rnacentral:rRNA from 1 species
GACGAACGCUGGCGGCGUGCUUAACACAUGCCAGUCGAACGGAAAGGCCCUGCUUUUGUGGGGUGCUCGAGUGGCGAACGGGUGAGUAACACGUGAGUAACCUGCCCUUGACUUUGGGAUAACUUCAGGAAACUGGGGCUAAUACCGGAUAGGAGCUCCUGCUGCAUGGUGGGGGUUGGAAAGUUUCGGCGGUUGGGGAUGGACUCGCGGCUUAGCAGCUUGUUGGUGGGGUAGUGGUUUACCAAGGCUUUGACGGGUAGCCCGCCUGAGAGGGUGACCGGCGACAUGGGGACUGAGGUACGGCCCAGACUCCUACGGGAGGCAGCAGUGGAGAAUAUUGCACAAUGGGCGGAAGCCUGAUGCAGCAACGCCGCGUGCGGGAUGACGGCCUUCGGGUUGUAAACCGCUUUCGCCUGUGACGAAGCGUGAGUGACGGUAAUGGGUAAAGAAGCACCGGCUAACUACGUG